rnacentral:rRNA from 1 species
AUACGGAGGAUGCGAGCGUUAUCCGGAUUCAUUGGGUUUAAAGGGUGCGUAGGCGGAAUAAUAAGUCAGGGGUGAAAGUUUGCUGCUCAACCGUAAAAUUGCCUUUGAUACUGUUAUUCUUGAGUACACACGAGGUAUGCGGAAUGUGAUAUGUAGCGGUGAAAUGCUUAGAUAUAUCACAGAACACCGAUUGCGAAGGCAGCAUACUAGAGUGUCACUGACGCUGAUGCACGAAAGCGUGGGUAUCGAACAGGAUUAGAAACCCCGGUAGUCC